UGGUUCUCAGCUGUGGUUGGACAACAGGAGCUAUAAAAAAAAAAAAAAUCUUAUUGCCCAGGUAGCCCCUGAGAUCAAUGGAAUUCAAAUCUUGGGGAAAGACAUCGGUAUGUUUGAGAGCUCCUCAGCAGAUUUCUGAGUGCAGCCAUACUUGGGGACCUUAGUCCAAGGAUGCGGUUCCUGUAAACACCUCUUUGUUUAUAGCCAGAAAACCUGGUCCGGGCUCAGAGCUGAGCAGCUGUUCCUGAUAUUAUAUUGUUCAAAAUGGGCCAACACAGCUGGGCUUCAGGGAAAGGUGAAGGCUCUCUGGCCCUUCAGAUGCCCAGCGUGCACCCCUCCCCACGGCCAGUCUUGUCCUCUGGAGUCAGAUCCCUGACCUGGGAGGUGUGGAGCUAGUGGUUCCAAGCUCAGCCUCAAUGAGAUCACCUGGGUUUGCUUCCCUGCCUCUACUACCCGUGAAUCUUGGCAAGUCACUCCACCUUUACGUAAGACCAGUGCCUAGCGCCUGUGAGGGAUCCAGUGUGCUCCGUCUUCUCUCAUUUUGAAUCCACGUCUCUGAUUCUGGACUAGAAUUCUGAGCUGGAGUCUGGCCUAGGCCUCCCUUGACUUCACCCUAGCACUUUGGGGUACUCAAAUCUUGCUCCUGACCUCUAUUUCUCUGGCUGAAUCCCUCUCAGGAAGGGUGCAUAAACUCUUUUUUUUUUUCUUGUUUUGAAAAUUUGUCUCUUAACCUAGGGGCUGGCAAACUAUGGCCCGUGAGUCAUGUCUGGCCUACUGCCUGCUUUUGUAAAUAAAAUUUUAUUGGAACACA